GCAGGGGUGGUUCAGUGGAAAAAUACUCGCCUUCCACGUGGCAGAACCAGGUUCAAUUCCUGGCCGAGGUA
rnacentral:tRNA from 1 species